UGUCUCCUCCAUCUCCUCAAAGGAUGGAUUCAGCCCCAGGCUUUACCGCUUGGGGCUUUUUUUU
rnacentral:ncRNA from 18 species